GCAAGAUUGAAGGUAGGAGGAUCCCAUGGAAAGAGUUUCAUGAAAAACAGCAUUGAGUUGGCCCAGUGCAAAGAUUCGGAACAAUCAGAUGGCAGUGUGAAGGGCUUCGUCCUGCCCACGCUGUGUCCCCAGGGAAAAUGUGUUGAUAAUCAAGGCUUGAAUUUAAAAAAGAAACCUCCAAAAAUGAUGAUUAAUGACAGGGGAUGUCUAUCAUAGACCAGUAACAUCUGGCUCCCUUUUGAGCUCUGAAG